rnacentral:rRNA from 1 species
CCAAUAGCGUAUAUUAAAGUUGUUGCAGUUAAAAAGCUCGUAGUUGAAUUUCGGGAUCAGAUUGUCGGUCGUGCCUCGGUACGCACUGGCAUUAUUGGUUCCUACCUUCUGAAGAACCGCGAUGUCAUUAAUUUGGUGUCGCGGGGAAUCAGGACUGUUACUUUGAAAAAAUUAGAGUGUUUAAAGCAGGCUUACGCUUGAAUACAUUAGCAUGGAAUAAUGAAAUAGGACGUUUGAUUCUAUUUUGUUGGUUUCUAGGAUCGACGUAAUGAUUAAUAGGGAUAGUUGGGGGCAUUAGUAUUCAAUUGUCAGAGGUGAAAUUCUUGGAUUUAUUGAAGACUAACUACUGCGAAAGCAUUUGCCAAGGAUGUUUUCAUUAAUCAAGAACGAAAGUUAGGGGAUCGAAGACGAUCAGAUACCGUCGUAGUCUUAACCAUAAACUAUGCCGACUAGGGAUCGGAUGAUGUUAAUUUUAUAAUGACUCAUUCGGCGCCUUACG